CGGGUCCACACCCAGGAAUCCUUGGGUGGGAGUUAGGACUGCUUUUUACAGCUGGGGAGGCUACUCCAAGGGCCAACAGAAAAACUGAGUGUUAGCCUGGUUCCCUAAGGAAAAGACUGCUGCCUCUAUCUUGGCUGGCCUCAGUGGGCAUCUCCAAUCUCUGCUGAUUUAGUACAAAAGGGGAAUAAUACUAGCUUCUAUCUUCUGUAAUUCUGAUUGCUGGUCAAUACAUGCCACUUACUAGCCACGCAUCCAAGAGCAAGUAUAUUUCCUCUAUGGGCCUCAGUUCCCUUACAAGUCAGUGUUGCCCCACCCCACAGAGGCAUGACUUAGUAAAGCACUUGGCACAGUCAAUGCUUAGUCGACUGUUGCUGUGGUGAACCACAUGAACAAGACUCCCCCUUCCUAUGCAGCGAUUCUAACAUUAUGGUUAUUUUGCCCUAGUUGGUUCUCAGAGGGGCCAUCAAGAACAUCUCAGAAGAAGAAAUGUGUAGCAUGUUCUAAGUCCCCACACACUCCCCACGAUGCAGAGAUGGAGCAGUAUCCGAUAGCAGCCCACAAGUGCAUGCCAGGAGCAGAGCCCAUCAGAGCAGACAGCGGAUCAGCCACAGGACUCAGGUAGUGUGUGUAGGGCAGGGUGGUGUGUGUGAGUUUUCAAACACACAGCCAGAGAGUCUGUCCUGAAAUUUUGGCCUGUGCUCAUGGAGAUCACCCUACCUACCUUGGGGUUAUAGCAUCCAUGUCUUAUUCAAAAGUUUUGGCAUCAUGUCAGUAGGUGGUAGAUCUAUAUACCAAUGCAUCACUCCAGCUGCCCAGGGUGCCAGAGCCACAUUUAGGACCUGCCAGCUUCGUGCACUAGAGUUUGGGUAUAUAGCUUGUCUUCCAAAGAUCUUGUAACGAAACCUGGUACCCAGUGUGAUGUUUUUGAGAGGUGAUGGGUCCUUUAAGAUGUGGAGCCUAGGAGAGGGUGAUUAGGUCAGAGCAACCCUUGUUAGGGAAUCCAUGCAUGAGUGGAUUAGUGCCACUGAAAGUAGUUGCUAUAAAAGAUUGAGCCUGGCUUCUACCUGGUAUCCUGCUGCUUCGCUGCUUUUCCUGUCAUUUGACAUAUUUCUCUCUCUCUCUCCCUCUCUCUCUCUCUCUCUCUCUCUCUCUCACACACACACACACACACACACACACACUAUAAUUCCCAUGCAAUGUUGCAGUGCAACCAGGGGGCCCUCACAAGAAGAUGGCACCAUACUGUUUGAACUUUACAGCCACCAGAAUCAUGAGCCAAGUAAACCUCUCUUCUCUAUAGAUUACCCAGAGUCAGAUAUAUUGUUAUAGCAACACAAUCUACUUUUGGCUGCUUCUCUGCAGGACCCUUCACAGUUUCCGAGGCACAGACCCUCCCUUGGCAGGCUACAGAAUAAGGAGGCUGCCGAUGCACCUCAUCCAUAACCAUCGCUUGCAUGUGUCUACCAGGAAGCAUGCACACUGUUUUUUGGAACCCAAAUGUUCCACCUGGUCCUUAGGUGAAGGCUAGGUCAGAGAUGGGGCUUUCCUUGGGCCAUAAAUAUUCAAAACUGUUGGCAAAGUACAUGGAUUUUGCAGGCAGCUGUUUGUGGCUGUACAAAGGGGGAAUAAUAAUAGCUUCUAUCUUCUGUAAUUCUGAUUGCUGGUCAAUACAUGCCACUUACUAUACAUGUUUGUGGAGCUCCUUGUGAAUCCUGUUGUCCCAUAUAGUCACUCCUUGGAGUCUGGUCUUGCUGAUUCCCUUCUACUAUUCCACAAAACCUAGAAUUUGUCCCUGUGGUCCUGAGAUGCAAGAAGUGGAGCCAUCAGUUAUAGUGAAAGACACUUGCAAAUUCUCCUCCCCCCACCCCCUGUCACUCACACACUGACUUCAGCUGAGUAACUCUACUCUCUGGUACCCUUUAUUUCCUCCUGUGAAAGGUCAGUGUGCCACUCCAACCCCUUCCUUCUAUACAGUAGAAGAAACUGAGGGCAGGUGAGGGGAUGGGCCAACUAAGGUAAGCCUGCAACCAGGCACAUUGACUCCAUUAGUCUUUAUUCACUGAGUAAAUGGAUGAAGACUGCUCGUGUCCUCACAACCCAUAAAGAACAAGCUUACUGAAUCAGGUUCCAAUCAGUCAUUUUGAACAUUAAACUGGGUUGUGUUUUGAUCUCCCUUUUCUUGAAAAUAACCUAUAGCCUGCUCUUGUACAAGCUGCCUGAUCUGCUUUUCUCAGUUUCCAUGUUUCCAACUUUCAGAAACAGGGGAAGGUGGCAGGAAAGGAGGCAGAACAAGUGGAAGGAGCCGAGACAUGGCCAUCCUGCAGCUUCAGUGGAUGGAGAAAAC
rnacentral:lncRNA from 1 species